rnacentral:tRNA from 1 species
CAGGGAGACAACAAAAUGUUAAAUAUUAAUUUUGUCACCUUAGGUCGAUCGGUAUCUCACAUCCUUAAUUAUUUAAGGAUUUUAUUUCCUAAGUUUUUCUAGGUCACACCCAUUACUUUUCCUGGGCCAUUAGCUCAGGUGGUUAGAGCGCACCCCUGAUAAGGGUGAGGUCCCUGGUUCAAGUCCAGGAUGGCCCAUAUCUCUAUGUUGGGGGUAUAGCUCAGUUGGUAGAGCGCCUGCUUUGCAAGCAGGAUGUCAGCGGUUCGAGUCCGCUUACCUCCACUGAUUACCACCUCUUCCAUAAUCUGUAGAAAGGAAUUGUUUUGAGUUGUGAUCAAAUUCUGAACGAAUCUAGCUUCCUAAUGAAUUCAUUAAGAUGCUGGACUCAUUGAAUUAAUUUUCAUUGUUUUCAGAGAACCUUGACAACUGCAUAGAUUAUUUUUAAAGACAAUAAGCAUCUUUUAAUGAUGCAGAUUUAUUAUUUGUGCGAAAGCAUUAAUGACAAUUCUAUUAAGCUGAUGCUUCAAUUUUGAAGUUAUU